UACAGAGGGGGCAAGCGUUGUUCGGAAUUACUGGGCGUAAAGGGCGCGUAGGCGGCCGCCUAAGUCAGACGUGAAAUCCCUCGGCUCAACCGCGGGCCUGCAGCCGAUACGGGCAGGCUAGAGUUCGGUAGGGGAGACUGGAAUUCCUGGUGUAGCGGUGAAAUGCGCAGAUAUCAUUUGGAACGCCAAUGGUGAAAACAGCUCGCUGGGGGUUUGCUGACGCUGAGACACGAAAGCCAGGGGAGCAAACGGG
rnacentral:rRNA from 1 species